rnacentral:rRNA from 1 species
UACGUAGGGUGCGAGCGUUGUCCGGAAUUAUUGGGCGUAAAGGGCUCGUAGGCGGUCUGUCACGUCGGGAGUGAAAACACGGGGCUUAACCCCGUGCCUGCUUCCGAUACGGGCAGACUAGAGGUAUGCAGGGGGAGAACGGAAUUCCUGGUGUAGCGGUGAAAUGCGCAGAUAUCAGGAGGAACACCGGUGGCGAAGGCGGUCUCUGGGCAUUACCUGACGCUGAGGAGCGAAAGUGUGGGGGAGCGAACAGG